rnacentral:rRNA from 1 species
AUUGAACGCUGGCGGCAUGCCUUACACAUGCAAGUCGAACGGCAGCACGGGAGCAAUCCUGGUGGCGAGUGGCGAACGGGUGAGUAAAGUAUCGGAACGUGCCCAGUCGUGGGGGAUAACGUAGCGAAAGUUACGCUAAUACCGCAUACGAUCUAUGGAUGAAAGCGGGGGAUCGCAAGACCUCGCGCGAUUGGAGCGGCCGAUAUCAGAUUAGGUAGUUGGUGGGGUAAAGGCUCACCAAGCCAACGAUCUGUAGCUGGUCUGAGAGGACGACCAGCCACACUGGGACUGAGACACGGCCCAGACUCCUACGGGAGGCAGCAGUGGGGAAUUUUGGACAAUGGACGCAAGUCUGAUCCAGCCAUGCCGCGUGCGGGAAGAAGGCCUUCGGGUUGUAAACCGCUUUUGUCAGGGAAGAAAAGGGUGUUUCUAAUACAGACGCCUCAUGACGGUACCUGAAGAAUAAGCACCGGCUAACUACGUGCCAGCCGCCGCCGUAA